GUCGCUGGCGGUGUGAACGGGGCUUGAGAGCUGGAUGUCAGAGAAUUCAAAGGUAGAUGGAUGUCUGUACUGACCGGGACACUUGGCUGAGUUGUAGUAAGGUUUUUGUCUCUUUUUGCAGACAUUCUGUCAUCACUGCAUGGUUUUGACCCCGAGGAAUAUACUUGUUGAAGUUGCAAUAAGAGCAUCUUUUCAGGCAAUAUGGCCACUGUAGAAAAGGAGAAAUACAGACAGAUAUAAUAGGCUAUAUUUCACUUCUUUACGUUUUGCCAGUGAGUGGCUUUGACAGUCAGAUUUAGACACUCACAUGGACAUAAAGUGACGCUUCAUCUGCGUGAGGAGGCAGCCCGUGAGUAGCGAUAGAUCUCAACAAUACAGAACAACCGAGCCCUGUUCCCAAACACUGCAGAGCCUGACGUUGUCUGAGGAAAGCUCGCGACAUACUGUACUAGU